rnacentral:rRNA from 1 species
GUAGUCUGCAACUCGACUACAGGAAGCUGGAAUCGCUAGUAAUCGCGAAUCAGAAUGUCGCGGUGAAUACGUUCCCGGGUCUUGUACACACCGCCCGUCACACCAUGGGAGUCAGUAACGCCCGAAGUCAGUGACCUAACCGAAAGGGAGGAGCUGCCGAAGGUGGAGCCAUUAACUGGGGUGAAGUCGUAACAAGGUACC